rnacentral:rRNA from 1 species
CCUACGGGUGGCAGCAGUGAGGAAUAUUGGUCAAUGGGCUUACGCCUGAACCAGCCAAGUCGCGUGAGGGAAGACUGCCCUAUGGGUUGUAAAGCUCUAUCAGCAGGGAAGAAAAUGACGGUACCUGAGUAAGAAGCUCCGGCUAAAUACGUGCCAGCAGCCGCGGUAAUACGUAUGGAGCAAGCGUUAUCCGGAUUUACUGGGCGUAAAGGGAGCGUAGGCGGCCUGCCAAGUCUGAUGUGAAAUACCGGGGCUCAACCCCGGGGCUGCAUUGGAAACUGGCAGGCUGGAGUGCCGGAGAGGCAGGCGGAAUUCCUAGUGUAGCGGUGAAAUGCGUAGAUAUUAGGAGGAACACCAGUGGCGAAGGCGGCCUGCUGGACGGUGACUGACGCUGAGGCUCGAAAGCGUGGGGAGCAAACAGGAUUAGAUACCCUGGUAGUC